GCAUGCCGCGUGCAGGAUGAAGGCCUUCGGGUUGUAAACUGCUUUUGUACGGAACGAAACGGCGAGCUCUAAUACAGUUUGCUAAUGACGGUACCGUAAGAAUAAGCACCGGCUAACUACGUGCCAGCAGCCGCGGUAAUACGUAGGGUGCGAGCGUUAAUCGGAAUUACUGGGCGUAAAGCGUGCGCAGGCGGUGAUGUAAGACAGAUGUGAAAUCCCCGGGCUCAACCUGGGACCUGCAUUUGUGACUGCAUCGCUAGAGUACGGUAGAGGGGGAUGGAAUUCCGCGUGUAGCAGUGAAAUGCGUAGAUAUGCGGAGGAACACCGAUGGCGAAGGCAAUCCCCUGGACCUGUACUGACGCUCAUGCACGAAAGCGUGGGGAGCAAACAGGAUUAGAUACCCUGGUAGUCCACGCCCUAAACGAUGUCAACUGGUUGUUGGGUCUUCACUGACUCAGUAACGAAGCUAA
rnacentral:rRNA from 1 species